AGAACGAACGCUGGCGGCAGGCUUAACACAUGCAAGUCGAGCGCCCCGCAAGGGGAGCGGCGCACGGGUGAGUAAUACUUGGGAACGUGCCCUUCAGUGGGGGAUAACGUCGGGAAACUGACGCUAAUACCCCAUAUUCCCUCCGGGGGAAAGAUUUAUCGCUGAAGGAUCGGGCCCAAGCCAGAUUAUGGUAGUUGGUGGGGUAAAAGCCUACCAAGCCUACGAUCUGUAGCUGGUCUGAGAGGACGACCAGCCACACUGGAACUGAGACACGGUCCAGACUCCUACGGGAGGCAGCAGUGGGGAAUAUUGGACAAUGGGCGCAAGCCUGAUCCAGCCAUGCCGCGUGAGUGAUGAAGGCCUUAGGGUUGUAAAGCUCUUUUGCCAGGGAAGAUGAUGACGGUACCUGGAGAAUAAGCACCGGCUAACUUCGCGCCAGCAGCCGC
rnacentral:rRNA from 1 species